rnacentral:lncRNA from 1 species
AAAGGUAGAUGGACAGCCUCUCUCUCUCUCUUACGGGUACUUAAACGUGCUUCUGGAAACUUUCUUGUUGAAAUGUAGGGUUUGACCGAUGAACUGCUUUCUCCUCAGGAAGACAGUAACAAUUUUCCUCAUAAACUGUGUUUCCUUUUAUAUUUUAUUGUAUAAAAGUAUAAAACGGUUCAACAGCAACCACUUCGACGGCCAUGGGGUGCUUAUAGAUUAUAUUUUCAUCGGGAUUGCUUUCUUUACUAGAAUCUUUUCCUUCUCUUGGCCAACUGAUGGGGUGCAUGUUAGAAAAGCUGGUAUUUGAACUGUGUUAUAAUGACAGGAAC